GCCCUGGUAGCUUAGUCGGUAGAGCGCGGGAUUCGUAAUCCCGAGGUCGCGGGUUCAAUUCCCGCCCAGGGCU
rnacentral:tRNA from 1 species